GAGAUUUGGGCAUGCUAGUGGAACGUCCCCCUGUUGCGGGGGGCGUGGCGUACGGCUCAGUAACACGUAGUCAACCUGCCCUGGAGACUAGGACAACCCCGGGAAACUGGGAUUAAUCCUUGAUAGGUCAUCUCAUCUGGAAGGAGAGAUGGCUUAAAGGCGUACGCGGGCUUCUUCCGCGAAUCUGCUCCAGGAUGGGACUGCGUCCGAUCAGGCUGUUGGCGGGGUAAUGGCCCACCAAACCUGUAACCGGUACGGGCCUUGAGAGAGGUGGCCCGGAGAUGGACACUGAGAGAAGGGUCCAGGUCCUACUUUUUUCAGCAGGCGAGAAACCUUAGCAAUGUGCGAAAGCACGACUGGGUCACUCCGAGUGAUUCCUGAUAAAGGAGUCUUUUGCUUGUCCUAAAAGCACAGGUGAAUAAGGGGUGGGCAAGUCUGGUGUCAGCCGCCGCGGUAAUACCAGCACCUCGAGCGGUCAGGACGUUUAUUGGGCCUAAAGCAUCCGUAAAAAAAUUUGCAAGUCUUCGGUUAAAUCCACCUGCUCAACAGAUGGGCUGCUGGAGAUACUACAAAGCUAGGGAGUGGGAGAGGCAGACGGUAUUCAGUGGGUAGGGGUAAAAUCCUCUGAUCCAUUGAGGACCACCAGUGGCGAAGGCGGUCUGCCAGAACACGUUCGACGGUGAGGGAUGAAAGCUGGGGGAGCAAACCGGAUUAGAUACCCGGGUAGUCCCAGCUGUAAACGAUGCAAACUCGGUGAUGCAUUGGCAUAUGGCCAAUGCAGUGCCGCAGGGAAGCCGUUAAGUUUCCCAAAGGGCCAGUNCGGNCGCAGGUCUGAAGCGGGGGCCCUAAAAAA
rnacentral:rRNA from 1 species